GGAUUGAACGCUGGCGGCAGGCCUAACACAUGCAAGUCGAGCGGUAGAGAGGUGCUUGCAUCUCUUGAGAGCGGCGGACGGGUGAGUAAUGCCUAGGAAUCUGCCUAGUGGUGGGGGAUAACGUUCGGAAACGGACGCUAAUACCGCAUACGUCCUACGGGAGAAAGCGGGGGACCUUCGGGCCUCGCGCCAUUAGAUGAGCCUAGGUCGGAUUAGCUAGUUGGUGAGGUAAUGGCUCACCAAGGCGACGAUCCGUAACUGGUCUGAGAGGAUGAUCAGUCACACUGGAACUGAGACACGGUCCAGACUCCUACGGGAGGCAGCAGUGGGGAAUAUUGGACAAUGGGCGAAAGCCUGAUCCAGCCAUGCCGCGUGUG
rnacentral:rRNA from 1 species